rnacentral:rRNA from 1 species
CAAUAGCGUAUAUUAAAGUUGUUGCGGUUAAAAAGCUCGUAGUUGGAGUUCUGCCAGGUGCCGCCUGUCCGCCCCAGUGGUGAGUACGUGGCGCGCAUUUGGCCCUUUCAAGGGGAGCGUAUCUGCACUUUAUUGUGUGGUGCGGGAUCCUUGACUUUUACUUUGAGGAAAUAGGAGUGUUCCAAGCAGGCUCUCGUCGUGCACAGCUCAGCAUGGAAUAAUAGCAUUGGACCUCGAUUCUAAGCUGUUGGUUGCCAGAAGCGAGGUAAUGAUGAAGAGGGAUAGUUGGGGGCAUUCGUAUUUAACUGUCAGAGGUGAAAUUCUUGGAUUUGUUAAAGACGGGCUACUGCGAAAGCAUCUGCCAUGGAUGUUUUCAUUGA